UACGUAGGUGGCAAGCGUUGUCCGGAAUUAUUGGGCGUAAAGCGCGCGCAGGUGGUUUCUUAAGUCUGAUGUGAAAGCCCACGGCUCAACCGUGGAGGGUCAUUGGAAACUGGGGAACUUGAGUGCAGAAGAGGAAAGUGGAAUUCCAAGUGUAGCGGCGAAAUGCGUAGAGAUUUGGAGGAACACCAGUGGCGAAGGCGACUUUCUGGUCUGUAACUGACACUGAGGCGCGAAAGCGUGGGGAGCAAACAGG
rnacentral:rRNA from 1 species